CAUAAAAUGAAUGGCCCGUUGUUCAUAUCCAUUGCCUGGUGGUUGUCAACAAUUUUGAACUACAUGCACUGAAGAGGAGUGUUUAUUUUUCAAAAACUUAUCAAUCAAAAGUGUUUGUUCUUACGGAAAAUUACGACAGUAUCACCAUUACUAUCCUGGCGUAUAUAAUUGUCUGAAAAGUCACCCAAAAAGUAAAACCGAAAAAUGUUCACACGGAAGGCUCUUGUAUUUUUACUUUUCGUAGCAUUAUUUGCUCUGACGAUUGAAUUCACAAAUGGUUUUGCCAUAGGUGGCAGACGGGGAUCAUUUUGCGUGUGUUGUUGUCAUCCUUGUCCGUGUGAUAAGAACCCCAUCAAAGACAUUUUCUUCAAGAAAUUAAAGUGAAGAUCGGCACGUUUGCGAUCCAUUUCUCGCAGCGGCAAUUGAAAAGAAAACAUUUUAAACUUAACUAGACAGUUUUACCAAAGUUUGAUAUUAUGGUGCGUGAUGCAUAAUGUGUGUGGGUUUUUUUAAUAUUAUCAUUCUUAGUUUUUUAGAAAGCUGAAAUACAAAUGCAAUACUUUGAAUAAAUUGAUAUGGACUCCUGA